CUUAAAUCAGGCUCCACCUCAGUCUGGAUAAUAUUUCCUAGGAGGCAUGAACCUCAUCCAUAGGAACAUGAAAGCCUCAUGGUUUUUCCUCUUUCUGGUGGCAGCUCCCAGAUGUGUCUUGUCCCAGGUGCAGCUGAAGGAGUCGGGAACUGGCCUAGUGAAGCCCUCACAGACCCUGUCCCUCACCUGCUCUAUCUCUGGAUUCUCUUUAACCAGCUAUGGUGUGAACUGGAUCCGCCAGGCUCCAGGAAAGGGGCUGGAGUGGGUUGGUAUAAUAUGGGCUGGUGGAAGCACAAACUUUAACCCAAAUCUUCAGUCCCGACUCAGCAUCACCAAGGACAACUCCAAGAAUGAAGUUUAUUUAAAGAUGAGCAACCUGAAAGCCGAGGACACGGCCAUGUAUUACUGUGCAAGAGACACAGUGAGAGGAAGUCAGCGUGAGCCCAGACAGAAACCUCCCCUGAGCACACAGGAAAGGCUGGGCUGCAGUGGUCACUCCGUACCACCAGGGGGCAGACAGGUCCUGGCACAGGGGCAGGCACUGAGAGGGGUUGUGAGGAGUUUCCUGGCCUUGCUUGAGUUUCCCUCUUCUUACUUUGCAACAGAGAAUAGACAUUAA